rnacentral:rRNA from 1 species
UACGGAGGGGGCUAGCGUUGUUCGGAAUUACUGGGCGUAAAGCGCACGUAGGCGGCUUUGUAAGUUAGAGGUGAAAGCCCGGGGCUCAACCCCGGAAUUGCCUUUAAGACUGCAUCGCUUGAACGUCGGAGAGGUGAGUGGAAUUCCGAGUGUAGAGGUGAAAUUCGUAGAUAUUGGGAGGAACACCAGUGGCGAAGGCGGCUCACUGGACUGGUACUGACGCUGAGGCGCGAAAGCGUGGGGAGCAAACGGG